rnacentral:rRNA from 1 species
UACGAAGGGGGGCUAGCGUUGCUCGGAAUUACUGGGCGUAAAGCGCACGUAGGCGGGUCAAUAAGUCGGGGGGUGAAAUCCUGGAGCUCAACUCCAGAACUGCCUCCGAAACUGCUGAUCUUGAGUUCGGGAGAGGUGAGUGGAACUGCGAGUGUAGAGGUGAAAUUCGUAGAUAUUCGCAAGAACACCAGUGGCGAAGGCGGCUUGCCAGAAUGCGCUCGACGGUGAGGGAUGAAAGCUGGGGGGAGCAAACCGG